AGUCGACGAGACCUUCGGGUCUAGUGGCGCACGGGUGCGUAACGCGUGGGAAUCUGCCCUUGGGUUCGGGAUAACAGUUGGAAACGACUGCUAAUACCGGAUGAUGACUUCGGUCCAAAGAUUUAUCGCCCAGGGAUGAGCCCGCGUAGGAUUAGCUUGUUGGUGAGGUAAGAGCUCACCAAGGCGACGAUCCUUAGCUGGUCUGAGAGGAUGAUCAGCCACACUGGGACUGAGACACGGCCCAGACUCCUACGGGAGGCAGCAGUGGGGAAUAUUGGACAAUGGGCGAAAGCCUGAUCCAGCAAUGCCGCGUGAGUGAUGAAGGCCUUAGGGUUGUAAAGCUCUUUUACCCGGGAAGAUAAUGACUGUACCGGGAGAAUAAGCCCCGGCUAACUCCGUGCCAGCAGCCGCGGUAAUACGGAGGGGGCUAGCGUUGUUCGGAAUUACUGGGCGUAAAGCGCGCGUAGGCGGCUUUGUAAGUUAGAGGUGAAAGCCCGGAGCUCAACUCCGGAACUGCCUUUAAGACUGCAUCGCUAGAAUUGUGGAGAGGUGAGUGGAAUUCCGAGUGUAGAGGUGAAAU
rnacentral:rRNA from 1 species